CAGUCGACGGCAGCACGGACUUCGGUCUGGUGGCGAGUGGCGAACGGGUGAGUAAUAUAUCGGAACGUGCCCAGUCGUGGGGGAUAACGUAGUGAAAAUUACGCUAAUACCGCAUACGAUCUAAGGAUGAAAGCGGGGGAUCGCAAGACCUCGCGCGAUUGGAGCGGCCGAUAUCAGAUUAGGUAGUUGGUGAGGUAAAGGCUCACCAAGCCAACGAUCUGUAGCUGGUCUGAGAGGACGACCAGCCACACUGGAACUGAGACACGGUCCAGACUCCUACGGGAGGCAGCAGUGGGGAAUUUUGGACAAUGGACGCAAGUCUGAUCCAGCCAUUCCGCGUGCAGGACGAAGGCCUUCGGGUUGUAAACUGCUUUUGUACAGAACGAAAAGGUCUCUAUUAAUACUAGGGGCUCAUGACGGUACUGUAAGAAUAAGCACCGGCUAACUACGUGCCAGCAGCCGCGGUAAUACGUAGGGUGCAAGCGUUAAUCGGAAUUACUGGGCGUAAAGCGUGCGCAGGCGGUUAUAUAAGACAGAUGUGAAAUCCCCGGGCUCAACCUGGGAACUGCAUUUGUGACUGUAUAGCUGGAGUGCGGCAGAGGGGGAUGGAAUUCCGCGUGUGGCAGUGAAAUGCGUAGAUAUGCGGAGGAACACCGAUGGCGAAGGCAAUCCCCUGGGCCUGCACUGACGCUCAUGCACGAAAGCGUGGGGAGCAAACAGGAUUAGAUACCCUGGUAGUCCACGCCC
rnacentral:rRNA from 1 species